CCCUUAGAGUUUGAUCCUGGCUCAGAAUGAACGCUGGCGGCGUGCUUUACACAUGCAAGUCGAGCGAGGCGGCCCGCAAGGGCCAGUCGAGCGGCGAACGGGUGAGUAACACGUGGAUCAUCUGCCCAGAGGUGGGGGAUAACCCGGGGAAACUCGGGCUAAUACCGCAUAUGACCGGAAGGUCAAAGGGGGGUCGCAAGAUCUCUCGCCAUUGGAGGAGUCCGCGUCCGAUUAGCUAGUUGGUAGGGUAAUGGCCUACCAAGGCGACGAUCGGUAGCCGGCCUGAGAGGGUGAUCGGCCACACUGGAACUGAGACACGGUCCAGACUCCUACGGGAGGCAGCAGUGGGGAAUUUUGCGCAAUGGGCUAACGCCUGACGCAGCAACGCCGCGUGGAGGAUGAAGGUCUUUGGAUUGUAAACUCCUGUCAGCAGGGAAAAAGCGACUCGUGCUCAUACCACGGGGAGUUGAUUGUACCUGCAGAGGAAGCCCCGGCUAACUCUGUGCCAGCAGCCGCGGUAAUACAGAGGGGGCAAGCGUUAUUCGGAAUUAUUGGGCGUAAAGGGCGCGUAGGCGGCCUGGCAAGUGGAAGGUGAAAUCCCUCGGCUUAACCGAGGAACUGCCUUCCAUACUGCUUGGCUUGAGACCAGGAGAGGUGAGUGGAAUUCCCAGUGUAGCGGUGAAAUGCGUAGAUAUUGGGAGGAACACCAGUGGCGAAGGCGGCUCACUGGACUGGUACUGACGCUGAGCGCGAAAGCGUGGGGAGCAAACGGGAUAGAUACCCCGGUAGUCACGCGUAAACGAUGAGUGCUUGGUGUAGCGGGUAUCGACCCUGCUGUGCGAGUCACACAU
rnacentral:rRNA from 1 species